rnacentral:rRNA from 1 species
GGGGAAUAUUGCACAAUGGGCGAAAGCCUGAUGCAGCAACGCCGCGUGAGUGAUGAAGGUCUUCGGAUUGUAAAGCUCUGUCUUUUGGGACGAUAAUGACGGUACCAAAGGAGGAAGCCACGGCUAACUACGUGCCAGCAGCCGCGGUAAUACGUAGGUGGCAAGCGUUGUCCGGAAUUACUGGGCGUAAAGGAUGUGUAGGCGGAUAUUUAAGUGAGAUGUGAAAUCCCCGAGCUCAACUUGGGGGCUGCAUUUCAAACUGGGUAUCUAGAGUGCAGGAGAGGAAAGCGGAAUUCCUAGUGUAGCGGUGAAAUGCGUAGAGAUUAGGAAGAACAUCAGUGGCGAAGGCGGCUUUCUGGACUGUAACUGACGCUGAGGCAUGAAAGCGUGGGGAGCAAAC